CUAAUGGGCAUGGAGUUAGAAUUUCUCUGCUUCUCCUAUCCUUGGAACAGGUUCAACACAGAUCAUGGCAGUCCAACCUUCUCCCUAGAGGUCCCAUUAAUAGUCUUCAACUCUGGCCUGGAGACCAGCUCUGGGGAUAAAAGGGGAAUUGAGUCUCCAUGGCCAAUUCACUCCAUGGCCUCU
rnacentral:sRNA from 1 species